GAAUCUUCAGCUUGUCCUUCAGGUACUGUAUCUGAAUCUUCAGCUUGCACUUCAGGUUCUGUAUCUGAAUCUUCAGCUUGCCCUUCAGGUUCUGUAUCUGAAUCUUCAGCUUGCUCUUCAGGUUCUGUAUCUGAAUCUUCAGCUUACCCUUCAGUUUCACCAAUGUUCUGAGUACUGGGACCGGCACCAGUAGCAAGUGAAAGAUCUGUGGCUGCAUUACUAGCUGUGUCCUCAUCAGCCGAACAAAUGUCCUGUAUAACCUCGUCCUCUGUUUCACUUCCCUCAUCACCGUCAUCAUCAUCU